UUUCGGGUAGGGAGCGUACACAGGUGCUGCAUGGCUGUCGUCAGCUCGUGUCGUGAGACUGUUGGGUUAAGUCCCGCAACGAGCGCAACCCCUGCAUUCAGUUGCCAUCGGGUAGAGCCGGGCACUCUGGAAGGACUGCCAUCGACAAGAUGGAGGAAGGUGGGGAUGACGUCAAGUCGUCAUGGCCCUUAUGUCCAGGGCGACACACGUGCUACAAUGGCCGGCACAACGGGAAGCGAGUUCGCGAGGACAAGCGGAUCCCUCAAAGCCGGUCGCAGUUCGGAUUGAAGUCUGCAACUCGACUUCAUGAAGCUGGAAUCGCUAGUAAUCGUGGAUCAGCCAAGCCGCGGUGAAUACGUUCCCGGGCCUU
rnacentral:rRNA from 1 species